rnacentral:rRNA from 1 species
UACGAAGGGGGCUAGCGUUGCUCGGAAUCACUGGGCGUAAAGGGUGCGUAGGCGGGAUCUUAAGUCAGAGGUGAAAGCCUGGAGCUCAACUCCAGAACUGCCUUUGAUACUGGGAUUCUUGAGUUCGGAAGAGGUAGGUGGAACUGCGAGUGUAGAGGUGAAAUUCGUAGAUAUUCGCAAGAACACCAGUGGCGAAGGCGGCCUACUGGUCCGAUACUGACGCUGAGGCACGAAAGCGUGGGGAGCAAAGCAGGG